GAAGCGGUUAACCUCUCACAAGUGGUUGUUUUAGCGAUUAGAUCGCCUCGGGUGUGUGUGUGUGUGGUGUGUUCCGAUGACUUCGCACCACACCACCACCGUCCAGAACUAUUUCGCAGCGCGCUCUUGCCGCGAAAGAUUCAUUAUCUUGCUUAUCGCGAUUGCGGGGCGCUGACAUUGGCGCUGAUUGUGACAGUUUCGUUCGCUUACUGCUGCUGCCUACCGCGGUUGCGCGAUCCGGGUAAUGCGUGUUAUCGGGACUCCACUCUCUUGCGCAGCCCGAAACCCGAAACCGCAAAACCCGUGAAGGCUCUCCUUCUCGUGGUGGGUGCUCGAGGGGCCAGGACGAGGCCACGAUCACACAAUUGCACACACACGCACGUAAACUGCCCUUAUCGGUAGGGCAGCAAUAUAUAGUAAACAACUUCACCGUCACGGCAGCGCAGCCAAUCCCCACUCAGAGAGCCAUCAUCAUCACCAUCAUGACACACUAUCAUGUGGACAAAGUAGUACCAGAACGACGGCCAAAUCGGAACUUGUGUGAGAUACAAAUAAAGCAAGAAACCUAACAGGGUGCAUGUGUUGGACAAAAUGGGGUGGAAAAUGAUUGCUGCAGUGACAGAGGGACUCUGCUGGUACAUUCUCGGUUUUAACCACUGCCACAUUGUUUGCAGUUCAAAAGUACAUGAGCUAAAAGCCAUCUCCACAGAUGGCCAGAGAGCUGACCAACGAACGAACGAGAAGCUGUUGCAGUUUGCUUCGUUAUUGGAAAACUUUCUCGCUCGGUUAAUGUUGACAUUGAUGGUUACUGCAGCGUGUGGGAUGCCAUCGAUGAACAAAGAACGCACGUGUGUCUUGGAAUUCGAGAACAGUGGAUUUAUUUUAGUUAUUUUAUAAACAUUCCGGCCAUGCGUAUGACACCGAGCGACCGAGCGACGUAAGGUUCUUUAAGAACGCCCAACGAAAGACCGAGCGCGGACGUGGGAGGCUUGCCCCUUCGUCUGUCAAUAAUACCGUGGGAACAGGCGUUUUGGCAGAUGACGGGCAUGUCUGAUAAGGUAGUGGGUAAUAAAGUUUGUCGUAUUGGUUUUGAAUAUGCAUCGUUGGCAACAUUUUAAUAAAAAAAAAAUCAUAAUUGAUGUAAGAUCACAGAUCACACCGUCAUUCCAUUAUUCACAGACUAUGGAGCAUAUGAUACAACCAAGCCCCCUU